AGAGUUUGAUCAUGGCUCAGAACGAACGCUGGCGGCGUGCUUAACACAUGCAAGUCGCGUGCGCAGUUUCCGUAGCAAUACGGGGAUGGGCGCACGGCGCACGGGUGCGUAACACGUGGGCAAUCUGCCCUCCGAUGGGGAAUACCCCCGCGAAAGCGGGACUAAUUCCGCAUAACAUUCCUUGGAUUAACUUUCGAGGAUUCAAAGCAGCAAUGCGUCGGAGGAGGAGCCCGCGCCCGAUUAGCUAGUUGGUGAGGUAACGGCUCACCAAGGCAAUGAUCGGUAGCUGGUCUGAGAGGAUGGCCAGCCACACUGGAACUGAGACACGGUCCAGACUCCUACGGGAGGCAGCAGUGGGGAAUCUUGCACAAUGGGCGAAAGCCUGAUGCAGCGACGCCGCGUGGGGGAUGAAGCUUUUCGGAGUGUAAACCCCUUUCGACUGGGACGAAUGCCUCGCAAGAGGAGUGACGGUACCAGUAUAAGAAGCCCCGGCUAACUACGUGCCAGCAGCCGCGGUAAGACGUAGGGGGCCAGCGUUGUUCGGAAUUACUGGGUGUAAAGGGUUCGUAGGCGGUGUGGCAAGUCGGGAGUGAAAUCUCUGGGCUCAACCCAGAGACUGCUUCCGAAACUGCUGUGCUUGAGUGUGAGAGAGGCUCGUGGAAUUGCAGGUGUAGCGGUGAAAUGCGUAGAUAUCUGCAGGAACACCCGUGGCGAAAGCGGCGAGCUGGAUCACUACUGACGCUGAGGAACGAAAGCUAGGGGAGCAAACAGGAUUAGAUACCCUAGUAGUCC
rnacentral:rRNA from 1 species